rnacentral:lncRNA from 1 species
GAAAGGAGAAGAGAAUACAGCUGUGUACGCCGCUCGCUCUCUCUCUUUUUCUUUCCCCAUCAAGAAAGUUCUCCACUUCCACCGCCCACCUUCUCUCUUCAUACCUUCUUCUUCUUCUUCAUCUCUCUUUUUAUUAUUUAUUUAUUAUCUGCUAUAUUAUUAUUAGCAUCUUCUGAAUUAUGUAUUACCCAAUUGUUCUCCUUAACAUUCACGAACUUUUCCUGUAAAGUUUUUUCCUUUUUUAGAUAGCUUAAGAACCUGCGGUGUAUAUGUGCACAGCGUCAUUUGGUGAUGAAAAUGAAAUGUUGUAACAAACAGUUAUAAGUUGAGGCUAUUUAUUAGGAGUGUAUAAUGUCGACAGUGGCAGUGUCUGCAUCGACGUUUCACCUUGCAGCUAAAUUUAGAUAUGAUGCUAUUUAAUUCCUUUACUCAUUAAAACUUCAUCCUUCCUAUAUUUCUUCACCUCAACUUUAGUGUCUC